AACGUACGCUGGCGGCACGCCUAACACAUGCAAGUCGAACGAAGUAGCAAUACUUAGUGGCAGACGGGUGAGUAACAUGUAGGUAUCUGCCCUUUGGCCUGGAAUAACACGAGGAAACUUGUGCUAAUACCGGAUAAGUCUUUACGGAGAAAGCUUUAUGCACCAUUGGAUGAGCCUGCACUUGAUUAGUUUGUUGGUGGGGUAAUGGCCUACCAAGACUGUGAUCAAUAGCUGAUUUGAGAGGAUGAUCAGCCACAUUGGGACUGAGACACGGCCCAAACUCCUACGGGAGGCAGCAGUGGGGAAUCUUGCACAAUGGAGGAAACUCUGAUGCAGCGAUGCCGCGUGAGUGAAGAAGGCCCUUGGGUUGUAAAGCUCUUUCGUCGGGGAAGAAAAUGACUGUACCCGAAUAAGAAGGUCCGGCUAACUUCGUGCCAGCAGCCGCGGUAAUACGAAGGGACCUAGCGUAGUUCGGAAUUACUGGGCUUAAAGAGUUCGUAGGUGGUUGAAAAAGUUAGUGGUGAAAUCCCAGAGCUUAACUCUGGAACUGCCAUUAAAACUUUUCAGCUAGAGUAUGAUAGAGGAAAGCAGAAUUUCUAGUGUAGAGGUGAAAUUCGUAGAUAUUAGAAAGAAUACCAAUUGCGAAGGCAGCUUUCUGGAUCAUUACUGACACUGAGGAACGAAAGCAUGGGUAGCGAAGAGGAUUAGAUACCCUCGUAGUCCAUGCCGUAAACGAUGUGUGUUAGACGUUGGAAAUUUAUUUUCAGUGUCGCAGGGAAACCGAUAAACACACCGCCUGGGGAGUACGACCGCAAGGUUAAAACUCAAAUGAAUUGACGGGGACCCGCACAAGUAGCGGAGCAUGUGGUUUAAUUCGAAGAUACGCGCAGAACCUUACCAACACUUGACAUGUUCGUCGCGACUCUAAGAGAUUAGAGUUUUCGGUUCGGCCGGACGAAGCACAGGUGCUGCAUGGCUGUCGUCAGCUCGUGUCGUGAGAUGUUGGGUUAAGUCCCGCAACGAGCGCAACCCUCACUUUUAGUUGCCAUCAUUAAGUUGGGCACUCUGAAAGAACUGCCAGUGAUAAGCUGGAGGAAGGUGGGGAUGACGUCAAGUCCUCAUGGCCCUUACGUGUUGGGCUACACACGUGCUACAAUGGUAUCUACAACAGGAAGCAAGACUGCGAAGUUAAGCAAAUCCCUAAAAGAUACCUCAGUUCGGAUUGCACUCUGCAACUCGAGUGCAUGAAGCUGGAAUUACUAGUAAUCGUGGAUCAGCGUGCCACGGUGAAUGCGUUCCCGGGUCU
rnacentral:rRNA from 1 species